CGAGAACGUACGCAUUUUGGGGGCGGAACCCCGUCAGGAAAAGCGCACAAAACUGCUCUUAAGUCAUUGCAGAGCUACCGCUUCGGUUAGCCAGCCACGAAGUUCUCGCGAGAGUCGUCUCCUCGAUACCAAUAAGAAGGUGCUGUUCCGAGAAGGAGAAGGAAAAGGGCUUGACACGUAUUCACUCGGCCCCGGACGUGGGAAGCAAGCCGUCUGGCUUCGGCCUCACAUCGGUCCUGUGCUCGGGACGGCGGCGUUGGCGGACUGAUCUGCGGCGGUGAAGAGGCAGGAGGAGGGGGAGGGGCGGAGCGUGGCAGCUGGCAGUAGUUCCGUCAGAGCGGACAUCUUGUGGCUGUGUCGUGCGCGUGAGCCCCGUAGGGCCGGGGAGGCACCAGCUGCCGCGCGGGGAGGAGGCCGAGGCCGCAGCUUGAGGGAGGCCCCGGCCCCUCUGCGCCUGUGUCUGGCAGAGCUGGUGUGAGACGAGACAAUCCUGCCCCGCCGCCGGGAUAAUCAAGAGUUUUGGCCGGACCUUUGAGCAUACACCGAGAGAGUGAGGAGCCAGACGACAAGCACACACUAUGGCGCUGAAACGGAUUAAUAAGGAACUUAGUGAUUUGGCCCGUGACCCUCCAGCA
rnacentral:lncRNA from 1 species